UGGGGAAUUUUGGACAAUGGGGGCAACCCUGAUCCAGCCAUUCCGCGUGAGUGAAGAAGGCCUUCGGGUUGUAAAGCUCUUUCGGCAGGAACGAAACGGCGGGCUCUAACAUAGCCUGUUAAUGACGGUACCUGCAGAAGAAGCACCGGCUAACUACGUGCCAGCAGCCGCGGUAAUACGUAGGGUGCGAGCGUUACUCGGCAUUACUGGGCGUAAAGCGUGCGCAGGCGGAUUGUUAAGCAAGACGUGAAAUCCCCGGGCUUAACCUGGGAAUGGCGUUUUGAACUGGCAGUCUAGAGUGCGUCAGAGGGUGGUGGAAUUCCACGUGUAGCAGUGAAAUGCGUAGAGAUGUGGAGGAACACCGAUGGCGAAGGCAGCCCCCUGGGAUGACACUGACGCUCAUGUACGAAAGCGUGGGUAGCAAACA
rnacentral:rRNA from 1 species